AUUUUCAAUACUUCGUAAGAAGAAUUUGUGCCUGGAGAAACAGAUGUAAUAAGUGACCAUACUGAUGUAAUCCCACUGCCUGGCCUUCAGUGGCAGUAGUGAAUGAAUAACUUCAAGAUGGGAGAAAACAAUUCCCCGCGAUUUCCAUAAUCAGUGAAGAUGCCUCAGACCUUUUAAAGAGAUGACUUUUCAUUGCUGCUUGAGUUGUCUGCAGUUCGUCGAUACUUGGGGACGGAGCCCACUGAGAAUGAUGGUCCAGGUCCUGCCAAAAUCCCUCCCUAUU